UACGGAAGGGGCAAGCGUUGUUCGGAAUCAUUGGGCGUAAAGGGGCGCGCAGGUGGCUCUGUAUGUCUGCCGUGAAAGCAUACAGCUCAACUGUAUUGUGUCGGUAGAAACUGCAGGACUUGAGGCUGGGAGGGGCUGGUGGAAUUCCCUGUGUAGCGGUGAAAUGCGUAGAGAUGGGGGAGAACACUCGUGGCGAAGGCGGCCAGCUAGACCAGUUCUGACACUGAGGCGCGAACAGCGUGGGGAGCAAACAGG
rnacentral:rRNA from 1 species